ACAGCAAAGCUGUAUGGGACUGUCAAACAGAGCUUGCUGCAGCCUUCAUGCGACGUCUGCCGCAAUUAUGUUCUUCGUACUUCGCAAGCUUCCUGCACGUACGCGCAGGAUGCUUAUACCCUAUACCUAUAUUACAUACAAUAAUAGCGGGAACCGGGGCUUCCCAGUAAAACGUGUAAAUAUAUAGUCGACGAUAUUUUAUCAGCCGUAAGACAUACACGUGCUGGAAGGAAAACAGAAAGAUAUACAUUACCUCAUUUCACAGCUUCUCAGAUCACAUUGCUGUUUGGCUUCUCGUCCAGAAGAUGUAAGAAUAUUGAUUGGGACUUGCAAUCGUCGCGUUGAAUUGAUUGAUGUUGAACCCGGAAAAUAUUGGCAUGUGUCUAUUAUGGGAAGGGUAAGCCGAAAGAUCCGAACAAUUUCUUUAAAAUGUUCACAAAUGAAGUCCAAGAGGUUUUCGCCAGUGGUGGUAUCCACUUCAAGAAUCAUUUAGUAAAAAUAAAGUUCAGAUGCUUCAUAGAUGAUGCUCCGGAUUGAUUCCUUGGAGGUAUUCCAAGAGUUUGAAGAAGAUCCUGAAAGACAACGAUCUCUAAAACACUAUCUUAUUAACGUUGGUGGUGUCACAUCUAGAGAUGCUCUCAACCAAUUUCUGAAGGAAGCCAUGACGGAUAGCCUGACACAAAAAUUCUCUUGGACUGGAAAGUCUGUUUCAGAUAAAGAGAAUCUCCGAUCGUUAUUUAAUACCUGUAUCGGAAAGGUAUUUUUUGAUGCCUUACGUGAGUGUCGAUACCACAGCCACAUGAUAGUACAGAAUUAGCGAGACUGAUACAAGAGGCAAUUCGGGGCGCACAAAAAAGAUUGCAGGAUGCAAAACGACGUGCCAAUCGCUCUGUCCAUGUGGAGGGUCGCAGACAAAAAUAUAUGGCUGAAAUGGCUCAUCGUUACGAGGUUGAACACCCAGGACAAUGACACUGCGGAAUAAGAGACCCACAAUUUCCCUAUUAAAGAUCCUACCUGUAUUCAAACAUACGUA
rnacentral:lncRNA from 1 species